rnacentral:rRNA from 1 species
CCUAGGGAGGCAGCAGUAAGGAAUAUUGGUCAAUGGACGAAAGUCUGAACCAGCCAUGCCGCGUGAAGGAUGAAGGCCCUCUGGGUUGUAAACUUCUUUUAUCUGGGACGAAAAAAGGGAAUUCUUUCCCACUUGACGGUACCAGAGGAAUAAGCACCGGCUAACUCCGUGCCAGCAGCCGCGGUAAUACGGAGGGUGCAAGCGUUAUCCGGAUUUACUGGGUUUAAAGGGUGCGUAGGUGGGUAGGUAAGUCAGUGGUGAAAUCUCCGAGCUUAACUCGGAAACUGCCAUUGAUACUAUCUAUCUUGAAUAUCCUGGAGGUGAGCGGAAUAUGUCAUGUAGCGGUGAAAUGCUUAGAUAUGACAUAGAACACCAAUUGCGAAGGCAGCUCACUACGGGAUUAUUGACACUGAGGCACGAAAGCGUGGGGAUCAAACAGGAUUAGAUACCCUGGUAGUCCACGCCCUAAACGAUGGAUACUCGACAUACGCGAUACACUGUGUGUGUCUGAGCGAAAGCAUUAAGUAUCCACCUGGGAAGUACGAAUGCAAGAUUGAAACUUCAAAUUGAUUGACGGNNGAGAGNGCGAGACGACGACGAGGAGGAGG